rnacentral:lncRNA from 1 species
AGAGGUUAUCAACAAAUUAUAAGUUUACGGGUACCAUGAGGAUUUUUCAUGCAUUUAAACGACAGAAGUACAAGCGAACAGAUAACACAUUAAAGUGGCUGCAGAAGCUUGAAAAUUUAGAUAGAGCAGGGACAGUCAAAACUGUGGGAUAAUACUUCUAUGGUGUCCAACAUGUCUAGUCAGGUUGACAGAAGUGAAAGAUGGUCUGAUGGUACAAUGAUGUACAAAUGAUACUCUUUAACAAGUUUAAUAUGUCAAAGUGUAAAAUGUUCUGUGGAUUCAUAUGAUGAGAAUGCCAAUGUUGAUCUGUAUGACUUAAUUAAACACCGAUAUUGAUACCUUUAGAUAUAUACCUGUGAAAUCUUCAGUGUCACCGUUCAGCUAUUGUUCAAGAUCAGUGUCUGCAGCUUGCACAGUUUAGUAUAGAGGAGCCUCCUGAAUCAAUUUUGUUACAUAUUUGCUGUAAUUGUAGGACGCACAUGUAGAGAGCAACAAGUCCUGUCCAACUGUGCAUGUAAAUGUGAUUCAGAAACUUUGAGAAUUUGUAAACAUUACACUGUUAUAAUUUUCAAAAUACUGUGUCUUGUAGUGUAUCAGUACUGUUUUGUCACAGUUUAUAGCACAGUAUGUUCACAAAUCAAACUUAAGAUCAUAGUUAUCAGUAUUAUUAAAAUCAUUAAUUAUUUGCAUGGUGACAAAAUUUAAUUUCAUGCAAUACCAAAGUAAAACGUUUAAUAAUUUUCGUAUUUAAAGUUGUAAGUUUAAAGUUGGCAUACAUUGUUUUUCUCCUUCAUAAAUCUAAAAAGUGAUUGGUCAUUAUAAUUGCAAUAUCAUUUUAGUGUGACAAAGUUUAUAUUGAACUGAAACGCUAAUGUAAAUUUUUGAACUAUUCAAUGCAUUUUCUUCAGUCUUAAAAUAUUUGUUUAUCGUACAUGCCAUGGCCCAUAACUCCUCCAUAUUACUUGUGUUUUGUCCUUUUUCGUUUCACUGAAGGAUAGGUAGAGGUAUUGCACAUACAUUUUUAGCAUCCUGAUUUUGUAAAGUGUUGUAUGUAAGGUUUUAUCUCGGAAUUAUGUCUCAUCUAAAGGUGGGGAGAGGUAUUGUUUAUGACUUCUCGUCUAUCCGCAUUAAGCCUAUCUGGCUUUAAGAGGACAAGUUGCUGGCCAGACUUUGAUAAAACUUCACAGGAAUGAUCAGUACCAAGCAUAGUGUUGUGCAUAUCGAUUGCACGUUUCGUUUCGAUGCACUAAAUUGCAGCCAGAGCUAAAAGUAGAAAAAUCUUGUCGGCUUUCACAGGUCAAAACUACUUAACAGAUUUUGAUGAAACUUCACAGGAAUGAUCAGUACCAAGUAUAUUUUUGCAUAUCACCAACACUUUCCAUUUUGCUGCAUGAAAUAGCCGCCAUAGCAUAAAGGUAUACAUAGGUGGGAGACAUGUAUUGUCAUAAAAUACCUAAAACACGUUCCACUUUGUUAAUGAAAAAUGUAUUAUACUUCUUACAAUUGCAAACGGUAAUAAUUUGACAUUAAAUGCACUAGUUACAGAACUGCAUUUGGCUUUUUUCAUAAUUAUUGCCCUUUUCUUACCAUAGCAAUAUUUUGUGUAACAUGUUACCUCAUUAAGCAUCAUAAGAUCAGAAAGUUCUAUGAUUCAGAAAUGUUGGCCCUUUUGUACUUGUCAUGAGUAUGUUUUCAGUAUUUUAUAUUGUCAUUACUUUUUGUUGUGCGAGUUUACGGAAAUGAAGACUUAGUUGUCCAAAUGGUGUGCCUGUGUCUGUC